rnacentral:rRNA from 1 species
GACGAACGCUGGCGGCGUGCUUAACACAUGCAAGUCGAACGGAAAGGCCCUGCUUGCAGGGUACUCGAGUGGCGAACGGGUGAGUAACACGUGGGUGAUCUGCCCUGCACUUCGGGAUAAGCCUGGGAAACUGGGUCUAAUACCGGAUAGGAGCCAUUUUUAGUGUGAUGGUUGGAAAGUUUUUUCGGUGUAGGAUGAGCUCGCGGCCUAUCAGCUUGUUGGUGGGGUAAUGGCCUACCAAGGCGGCGACGGGUAGCCGGCCUGAGAGGGUGGACGGCCACAUUGGGACUGAGAGGCGGCCCAGACUCCGACGGGAGGCAGCAGUGGGGAAUAUUGCACAAUGGGCGCAAGCCUGAUGCAGCGACGCCGCGUGGGGGAUGACGGCCUUCUGGUUGUAAACUCCUUUCGCUAGGGACGAAGCUUUUUGUGACGGUACCUAGAUAAGAAGCACCGGCUAACUACGUG